rnacentral:rRNA from 1 species
UACGUAGGGGGGCGAGCGUUGUCCGGAAUCAUUGGGCGUAAAGAGCGUGUAGGCGGCUUGGCAAGUCUGACGUGAAAGCCCGCGGCUCAACCGCGGACUGUCGUUGGAAACUGCCUCGCUAGAGUCCGGAAGAGGAGAGCGGAAUUCCUGGUGUAGCGGUGGAAUGCGCAGAUAUCAGGAAGAACACCCGUGGCGAAGGCGGCUCUCUGGGACGGUACUGACGCUGAGACGCGAAAGCGUGGGAGCGAACAGG